rnacentral:misc_RNA from 1 species
GGUUACGGUCCAGUCCACACUCGCUCAAGAUGGUUCAACGAUAUCGUCAAUGUGAUAUUCUCUUCGAAACCAUUUGUUGCGGGCUUUGUGGCGUUCUUCUUGGACAACACUCUGCACAGGGAUGUCAGCUCAACUAGGAAAGACAGGGGUUACCACUGGUGGGACAAGUUCCGAUCUUUCAAGAAAGACCCCAGAAGCGAGGAAUUUUAUUCACUGCCGUUUAAUCUCAACAAGUUCUUUCCAUCUGUGUGAAUGUACAAUGGUCGAGUCGAGCCAAGAAUGGAUUGUGUUCUUCAAGAGUUAUUUGGGCGACAUUCUGGUGUUUAUUUUCU